rnacentral:tRNA from 1 species
UGCCGGGUCAUCUAGUGGUAGGAUACGUGACUCUGAAUCACGUCACCUUGGUUCGAAUCCAAGCCCGGCAGCCA